rnacentral:lncRNA from 13 species
GACAGAAAUCAGGUGGAUGGUGGUGUUUUGGAAUUUCUUUGAAUUCGGCCUAUCGAUUUUCCAUGAGGCCUUGAUCUUUGACCGUGUCGUAGUACCGAUCUAUCACGUUCGGCACGCAAUACCUAGAACCGAAGUGGUUUAUCAAAAUACUCGAGUCUUGUAUUUUCAUUUUUCCCUUGGCUUUGUCCUCCAAUACUUAUUCUUCCAAGCGUGGAUGAAUGCUUGGGCAGAAAUGCUGCGGUUCGCAGACCGAUUGUUUUACAAGAAAAAUCCAUUGUCUCGUUAUACGAUUCCAUAGUCGACGUGAACAACGGAUUAAACUGUCCUUGACAGCUCCAACUCCGUGAUAUGAGCAGAUCUAGAUAAUAAUUGGGAUGUGGUGGACAGUUGUUCUCCAUCGUAUAUAAGUUGAACACAAUGCAUAGACUGAUGUUGAUAAGUAUCCACCAGAAGAAGUUGUUGCUAGUAACAACUUUGCCCUUGGAGAUGAUGAAAAGGGGUAUCCCAAUUCCGAAGAGUAAGAUGAAUGCCACUGGAUAAAAAAAACCCAUUACGAACGCCAGUACGUACUCAUGAAUGAUGGCUGAAAUGAAGAACACAGCUAUAGCUGCCAACGGUCGGUUGUACGGCAUCACUAUCUCAUACAUGUCCUUGAAGAUGUAUGAAUAUAACCAGUUGUGCACAAUUGAGUUCCACGUGCGGAAAAAUUCGUUAAAAGUCGUGGCGUUUACAUAAGUUUAGCGUUAAACUAAAUAGAGUGAAGAACAGUUUGACACGAUAAAAUUACAACAUCCAGUAAAAAGUUUCUUCGAGUAAAAAAGCUUAUUUGUUUAAAUUAAAUAAAUAAUUUGAACAAAUAAUUGAUUUGCUUUACAAAAGACUAAAAACGUCAUUUCCUUAAAAAUUCCCAAAUUUUUAUUUUCCUCUCAAAGAUAUUUUCACUACAACUUAAAAAAACCAAGUUUAAAGAAAUAAUUUCAUCAAUUUAAACAAUUUUUCUCUGCGAUAUAGAGAAACUAAUAAGGGAUAUAAAAACUAAAUAAUAAGAAUUUAGGUAUUGUUAAUGAAUGUUAAUUCAAGGAAUAUGUUGCAGCCUUAAUUUUUUUUAAUCAUUUUGGAAUUAUAAAAGUAAUGGCAACUUUUUUCCAAACUCUUGAUAAAAAUUCGAAAAUGGACGAAAAUGUUUUUAAAUGCAAUUUACAAUUUAAAGAAAAAAUAUUUUUGUCCAUUUCCUUAGUAAAAUUUACAGUCAUAAUUGAUGAUUUUUAUUUCUUUAAUAGUUUUAAUAAUAAAUUGUAAUUAAAUUAAUUGUAUGUAUUAAGAAGAAUGUGCAGUUGUUAAAUGUACAAUACACGUGACUUUAUAUAAAAA